GGUGAGUAACACGUAUGCAAUCCACCUGUAACAGGGGGAUAACCCGGAGAAAUCCGGACUAAUACCCCAUAAUAUGGGCGCUCCGCAUGGAGGGUCCAUUAAAGAGAGCAAUUUUGGUUACAGACGAGCAUGCGCUCCAUUAGCCAGUUGGCGGGGUAACGGCCCACCAAAGCGACGAUGGAUAGGGGUUCUGAGAGGAAGGUCCCCCACAUUGGAACUGAGACACGGUCCAAACUCCUACGGGAGGCAGCAGUGAGGAAUAUUGGUCAAUGGUCGGCAGACUGAACCAGCCAAGUCGCGUGAGGGAAGACGGCCCUACGGGUUGUAAACCUCUUUUGUCGGAGAGUAAAGUGCGCUACGCGUAGCGUAUUGCAAGUAUCCGAAGAAAAAGCAUCGGCUAACUCCGUGCCAGCAGCCGCGGUAAUACGGAGGAUGCGAGCGUUAUCCGGAUUUAUUGGGUUUAAAGGGUGCGUAGGCGGCACGCCAAGUCAGCGGUGAAAUUUCCGGGCUCAACCCGGACUGUGCCGUUGAAACUGGCGAGCUAGAGUACACAAGAGGCAGGCGGAAUGCGUGGUGUAGCGGUGAAAUGCAUAGAUAUCACGCAGAACCCC
rnacentral:rRNA from 1 species